CAGGUCAAAGAGCUGACAGAAGUAAACAUACGAGGCCAGGCACCGAUAGAAUUACAGUUUCCAAGCGAGUUGAAUGAUGCCCUUUCUAAAACACGGAGACUACAUUUUUUUGAUCAGCAUGGAUGGAAUGUGUAUAACAUACAUGAAAACACCGAUCGCUACCUAAAGCUUGAACAUUAUACAACCAAGGUCUAUGUUAUUACAUAUGGAAACGAAUAUCAUCGGCGUAUAUCUUGGAUUAUCGAUGACGAUGGAGCUUGGAUAAUAUUUUUGAUUUGAUUUUUGAUUUUAUUUUUAUUUCAGCAUUUUUCCAACAGAAAUAAUUAACAAACAUAAUGUACAACAUAAAGAAAAAAAUAGUGAUACAUUUCUUUUUACAAAAAAAUACAAAUAAUCAUUCAUUUGCAAAAAUGUAUAUAGAUAGUAUUAUUUUGCAAUAUUAUAAGUUGUACUUUGUUGAGUAGACAAAAAAAAAAUGCUGGAGACCGCUACCAUAAGCAGUGCUUGACUAGGGUAGCGGCCUCAAAACGUAUUAGCGAAAUAGACAAAAAGAACGAAGUACAAAUCAAGCAUUGACUUAAAUUAAUUAUAAACAGAUAUUAUUAAUACGAUAUUUACAUGCAAGAACCUUGUAUGCCUGAUAUUAUGUGCACAUUUGACGUAUUUGCAUGUGUUUGUGCAUGUGCAAACGUGUGCGCGUGUGCAAAUGUAUAUUUAAAAUUGUAUGUGUAUGUUAAGUGUGUGUGUGUGUUGAGAGUGGGUGUGCGUGUAUGUGUGUCGGUAUAUGAGGGUGUGGGGGUAGUAUUAAUUAGGAAUUAUUGAAUGGUUCCAGGAUACAGCUUGAAAUGAUAGAAAAGUUUGAUACUAUGACUUAACUUUUUUUUCAUUUUCUGAUGUAACAGUUUAUGAGAUCAGAUAGAAAUUAAAAAUUUACCAAGAAAAUUGAAAAUUGACCAAGACCCGUAGAACUCUUUUUAUAUAUAUGCAUAAAUUAUUCAGAAUUGUAUUUGCGUGUCAUAAAUUUGUUAAAGGAUGAUUUGAAUGAGUUAAGAGAGGGACAUUGUUUUAAGUAUUGUGGUAAGGAAUUCCAGGUAUCUGGUCCAUGAUGGCGAACUGAUUUUUGAGCAAGAAUAAGUUUGGGGUUGUGUAGAUGAUAAUCAGAAGAGUGGCGAGUUGGAUAUGCAUGUAUAUUUGAAUUUAAAUUGAAUAGAUUUUGGAAUAAUGAUGGAAGAUUAUUGUAAGUGUAUCUAAACAUAAAUAUACCUGUUUGUAGAGUGUGAAUAUCCUGUAUUUUAAGUGCAUUUAAACGCUGAAAUAGAGGUUCUGUGUGGGAAAUAUAAUGCGAAUGAGUAACGUUACGAAUUGCUCGUUUUUGGAGAAGUAGAAGAGAGUUUAUUUUCGUUAUACUACAGUUACCCCAUACAAUAUUGCAAUACAUCAUAUGUGAAAGUACUAGGGAGUUGUAUAGAACCAAUAAUGAUUUUUCAGAAAGAAAGUCUUUUAAUUUGUAAAUUAUUCCUAUGUUUCUUGAUAUAGAUGUAUGUACAUUGUGUAUGUGUUCAUUCCACGUUAGAUUGGAGUCAAUUGUUACUCCCAAGAAUUUGGUAGAGUGUUUUUCAGUAAGAGGUAAACCGUCAAUUGAUAAAUUGGGAGCUGGUAAAUGUGGAUUAGCUUCUCGAAAGUGUAUAAAAUUGGUUUUGCUUAUGUUAAGUGAAAGUUUGUUUGUUUUAAACCAUUGGGAUAUUUUAGAGAGUUCUGAAUUAAGAAUAUGUGUUAGAGUAUCUAAAUUAGCAUGGGAAUAGAAAAUACUGGUAUCGUCGGCAAAAAUUAUGAAAUUUAGAAUUGGGGAUGAAUUUAUGAUAUCAUUAAUAUAGAUAAUAAAAAGCAGGGGUCCCAGAAUUGAUCCCUGUGGUACGCCGCACUUGAUAUUUUGUUUUUGUGAGUUUUGAGAUUGGAAAUGUACGUAUUGUUGUCGAUUAUGUAAAUAGUCUUCAAACCAGGAUAGUGCUUGUCCCCUUAUUCCAUAUGACUUUAAUUUAUGAAUUAAUAUUUUGUGGUCGAUUGUAUCGAAAGCUUUCGAAAGAUCCAUGUAAAUUCCAAUCGCAUGUUCCUUUCUGGUGAAAGCUUCAAUAAUUUUGUCGUACAUAUAUAAUAAGGCAUAAUCUGUUGAGUGUCCUUCUCUAAAACCGAACUGAUUAGGAAUAAAAAUAUCAUUGUUUUUCAGAAAAGUAAAGAGUCGUUUAUAAAUAAUUUUUUCAAUAAUUUUAGAUAUUGAUGGUAGUAAAGAUAUGGGCCUGUAAUUGCUGAUUAAGGAGGAAUCUUCUUUUUUAUAAAUUGGUAUUACUUUUGCGAGUUUCAGGGAAUCCGGGCAUUUGCCUGUUGAAAGAGAGAGAUUAAAUAUAUUGGAUAGUGGAUGAGCAAUGUAAUGAAUAAUUUGUUUAAGCAAAUAAACACUAAUUCCGUCAUGCCCACAAGACUUGCUAGAUUUCAGUUGUUGAACAAUAUUAAUUAUUUCAAGUUCAUUAGUUGGUCUUAAAAAGAGUGAGUUUUCACAUGCUGGAGAUAGGAAUUUAGUGAAAUGUGAAUCAUUUACAUGAAUGUUUGAGGCCAGAUUGGGACCUACAUUAGUGAAAUAAUCAUUGAAUGCAUUUGAAAUUGUUUCUGGGUUAGUAAUUUCUUGACCAUCAACAUUAAAACUAUUUGCAAUAUCAUGUUUUUUCUUACCUAAGAGAUCGUUGACAGUUUUCCAUAAAAAAGUAACAUUAUUUGCGUUUUCCUCUAUAUUUUUUGAAUAGUACAGUUUUCGAGAUAGACGAAUAAUGGAUGUCAAUUUAUUUCUAUAUUUUUUGUAUUUGUCAAAUUUUACCUUACAUUGAGUUUUUAGAGCUUGCUUAUAGAGUUUAUUCCGUGUUGAUAUUGAUCGUUUAAUGCCCUUUGUGAUCCAUGGUUGUUUAUUCUUUUUAAGGACCUUAUCUUUUACAAGAGGUAUGUUUUUGUUAUAAUAAUGUAAGAGUUUUUGAAUAAAUAUUUCAUAAGCAACAUCGGCGUUAGUUUCGUUCAAUACUUCAUUCCAAUCUUCUUCAGCUAAAUCAGUUUUUAGUGCAUCGAUGUUGCGUUGGGUUUCUUUUCUGUGCAUUUCUUUUUUGUUUUUAUUUGUAUGUUGUUGAAUUUUAGCUUGAUUAGAAAUAACAAAUAUAGGUAAAUGGUCCGAAAUGUCAGAAUAAAUUAUGCCAUUUAUGAAGUUUUUGUUAGUUACAUUUGAAAUGAUAUUGUCAAUGAGGGUUUUAGACGUACUUGAUAUUCGUGUCGGAUUACUAAUAUGCGGGUGGAAAGAGUAUGAAAGCAAUGAGCUAAUAAAUUUUAGAGUGUAAUUAUUGUCAGUAUUAAUAAGAUUAAUGUUAUAAUCUCCCAUUAUGUAAAUGUCUUUAUUUUCCCGAGAAAUAAAACUAAGACAUUGAUCGAGCUUAUCUAAAAACAAAUCAAUGUCACCAUUUGGGGGUCUGUACACAUUACCUACGAUUAUGUUUUUAUUUUUACUGUUUAAAAUUUCAAUGAAAAUAUCCUCCGUGCCUUGGAUAUGUAUAUCUGCCCUUACUUUAAAAUGUAUAUCAUUGCGCGUGUACAAGGCAACGCCACCCCCUUUACCAUGCUCACGGUCAGAACGAAUCAUUUGAUAAUUAUCAAUGUUAAAUAGAGGUGGUGAGUUUUUGUGCAGCCAAGUUUCUGAUAUACCGAUAAUAGAGAAGGGGUAAUUGUUAAUAUUGGAAAGGAGUAAUUCAAUCGAAUCAAAUGAUUUAUUUAAACUUCUAGCGUUGAUGUGCAAAAAACCUAAAGAAUGACUAGACAAAAUAUGAUUUUGGUCACUAGCAAUGCUGUUAAAAGAUGUGUUGGUUUCGGUUGUAGUAACAAAAUCAUUCGGUGAAACGUUGAAUUUAUUAUUAAAAUCUUCUAUUGUGAAA